rnacentral:lncRNA from 1 species
UUUUAUUUAUUUGAACGGUUUCUAUAUUAUUUAAAUUCACCGCCCGGUAUCUUAAGAACCGCCCGGUACCCCAUCUUUGGAACCGCCGGGGUACCGUCCGGUAACCCCAUCUUUGAAACUGUCAGGGUACCGCCCGGUAGCCAAUCUUUAGAACCGUUGAGGUACCGCCCGGUAUCUAUAGAACCGCCCGGUACCCCAUCUUUGGAACCGUCGGGGUACCGCCUGUAAAUAUGUAUAUAAGGGGAUGCGAGAGAGAUCAGAGUGGG